rnacentral:rRNA from 1 species
UACGGAGGAGGCAAGCGUUAUCCGGAAUUAUUGGGCGUAAAGCGUCCGCAGGUGGCACCUCAAGUCUGCUGUCAAAGACCGGGGCUUAACCCCAGAAAGGCAGUGGAAACUGAAGUGCUAGAGUGCAGUAGGGGUAGAGGGAAUUCCCGGUGUAGCGGUGAAAUGCGUAGAGAUCGGGAAGAACAUCGGUGGCGAAAGCGCUCUGCUGGACCAGUACCGACGUUCAGGCACGAAAGCGUGGGGAGCAAACAGG